UUUCUGAAAAAAUCUACCAUUAUUAUUACGUAGACAAGACAGCUCUCUCUUAUACAAAGUCCACCUUUGGCACACUAGUAUAAAUUAGGAUGAAAACCCCUGAAAAUAUUAGACAUAUUAAAAUCUGCUGCACAACAAAGUAAAAUAUGACUUAGAGUCAUGGGAGAAUGUAGCAAUAGAAGUUCUUUCAUAUAUAUAACAUCUUCUGAGCAUUAAUUGGUGCAACUUCUUGAGUUCCCACAAAUCUUCAGAGGGGUGCUUUAUUCUACUAUGCAAGCUAUGCUAGAAAAUAAAAAUAAGAAAUGUGUACACACUCUGUAUUUGAGUCUGUGUAAUGGUUGAUCUCAAUGUGGAGUGUGUGCAAUGCAUAAGAAGUACAUGGUUUUAUGCCAGAUUUAUCUUCUCUUGGAAUUGGGGCUGACCCAAACAUCAAGUUAAAAUAACUUGUCCUUUAUGUAAGUUGCAUUUGGUCUAGCUACAACUAAAAACGAAACUAAAGGAACCAUUGCUUUCUGAACAAAAUACGUUGGACUCAUCUUUAUCUACCUCCUAAAUAAAUAUUUUUUUUUGUAAUCUAAGUUGCAAAUAUCUGAGAAUGUCAGAGGAUCUCAGGCUUCUUUAAAGAGGUAAAUCCUGGGGUCUCAUGAUUAGAAUAAAUUGAGUCUCGUGAUUAAAAUAAGUAAUGACCUGAAAGACCAAUGUAAAGUCCAUAGAAAUCAAAAGACAUCUAUUGACUUCAGGGAAUUUUAGAUCAGACUCUGGAGUAACUUGGGGGUAUAACUCCUCUUGUACAUCACUUCAUCCAUCUGCUCAGCAGCUACAACUACCUACACAUUUUGUGACAAGUAAGAGUCAGUCAAGUAACUCCCACUGCAUUUUCCCCUUUCAUCCUGUAAACUCCUUCAUUAGUGAUAAGCCUCUGUGCCCUGGCAUCCAUGUACCAGCUGAAAGGAGUAACCUGUUUGUAAACCAGAUGCUUUGACAUACUUGGAACUUGGAAGGGAGGCAGCAGUACUUGGCAAACAAACUUGUAGUAAGUGCACUGUGCUUGAAAUGUUUAUAAUUUGUUCUUGAAAAAUAUGCUGAGAAGACGGGCACUAGACAUCCUGCUCAACUUUGAAGUUCAAGUUUGAAGGUGGGUAUCCUGAAUACCUCCCAAAGAACAUUUGAAAAAAAAAAAAACCAGUCUGGUGCUCUGUAGAGUAAAGAAUGUGCUUGAGGAGAGGGGGCAGAGAAUGCUACUAAGUCCCACUGUCAUGCAGUCUGCAGAGAAAUUACCAAGGUCCAGAGAAAGGCAGCUUCAUUUAUGAAGCAAGAGGUUCAUAUGAAACCCCCCUAAUUUGCUGGUCGAUCUUUAAUAGGAAGCACACAGGUAUACCAAACAUCCCUUCCAAUCCAUGUGAACACUUUCAAGCUAGCAACACACUCAAAAUUUAGGCAAAUCUGUAAACAGAAAAGGAGUCUCAUUUUUUGCCUCUUGCUCUCUUAAAAUUGGACAUAUAAAGAAGGAGUUACUUUGUUCAGCUGAUAUGUAUGUGAACAUACGUCUGAGAUUCCUACUUAUGAUCCACAAAGAGCGAUUACCAAGGGAAGAUCAGCAUCUGGAGGUCCUCCAGGACAUGGGAUGAUCAAGGAGGAAAAAACUCUCAGGUGCUCAAAAUGUGAAGAGCUGAAGGUUUCUUCCCUUUGAUGGUACCAUUGUUCUGUGAACAAAGAACUGCAGGUAUGGAGGGUAACCUGAACAAUUUUCUGAAAUCAGGCUCAGCAAACUUACUGACAUUUAGAAUUUGGCUAAAUAAAAAGGGGGAAAGGCAUGGUACUUUCAUAGCUUUGAUCAUUAUGAACAAAGGAAUUCAGCUCAAUGCAGAUCUCAAGCUGGCACAGGAUGCUACCAUAUGAAGGGGAGUUGAGGGAAGUUCAAAACCCUCAGGAACAUUACAUCCAGUUCAUCCUCCAUCCAGUUCCAUCCAUCCACCUCCUAUCAACUCCAUUUCUUUUCUCUUUGUACCUACCUUUACUGCUUUGCACUCUUUCAAUGACAGAAGUCCUGCCUUUCCUAGUAAGUCUGUAACAAUCAGCAUGAACCAGAAAGGAGAGAGAUACAUGGAGCUUGCAUGGCAAGUGACUAACUAUCCAGACAGGAGAUACCUCCUCAACAAGAAAGGUUGAGCAGGGAUCCAUCUUUGAAGAUGCAGUGAAGCUCUAGAGGAAGGUGGAAGGAAGGAACCUGGCAGGAGCAAGGUGAGUUGGCUGAGGUUGACUUGGUGGGCAAAGAAUAAAUGGGUCCAGAGGGCUUCUCUUAGAAGGUAACUGGCAGGAUCUGGGGUAGGGCAAGGUUGGAAGACUGGACUGAGGUAUGUUAGCUGGACCUUGAAAUGAAGGUUCAUCAAGGAGAAACAGACUCUUGUACUCCAGGAACGGUCAGCGUGGCUGAAGGCUGGGGACAAAUCCCACUUUAAAAAUAAAGAGCUAAACUGCAGUGAUUCGAGAAUCACUGCCUUAGAGUCUAAGUCAAAAGAUAGAUAAGAUGAAAAGAGCCAAGGAAAAAGAUACCUAGGGAUUAACAGUUGCAUAAAAAUCAAAAUAAUAAUAUCACAAAAAAAAAAAAAAUCUGUGUUAAAUUAAGCUUGGGACUAGUUUCAGUGAUACCUAGUGGGACUACAUUAAUAAAAAUAAAUACACAAGGUAGAAACCUAAAAUAGGAAAUGGAGCAUAAAACCGGGAAGAAUUAAUACAGAAUAGAAAGGGCUAAGGAAAACAAAAAUGGAGAAAGAAAAGAGAAGAGCAAACAUAAUUUUUAAAGGAGACAAAUUAGAUGCAGGAAAAAAGACAUUUAAUUGAUUAUUUUCUGUUGAUGGUUUAAAUAAACAAAACCAUAUUUGACACUGAUAAUGCCUGUAAAGGCUCAACUUAGAAUAUAUUGAAGAAAGUAUAUUCAGCUUCCUUGGAUUAGUAAGGCAGCAAGAUUUGCAUUUAAAAUAAGUGUCCAGAUCCUGCACCCUCUCAGGCAGGGUUAAAGCAAACCAGAAAACACGGCAGGGUCAGGGCCAAGGCAGCUGCCUGCACGCCUGUUAGGUCUGUCAUUGUUUGUUUUGUGUUUCUGGACUUGUAAGCCCUUCAGGCCUGGAGCACCCCCCAUGGGGCCUGGCCAGCCUCCACCGCCUUUGGUGGGUACCGAGGAAGGCUUUGUUUGUCCAGCAUUUGGCUCAGAGAGUCACGGCCUGGCUGAGACUUGUAAGUUGUAAAUAUAAUAGCAGCAAAAUACAAUAUACUUUCACUGAGAUAUGGCUGUGCUUGAACGCUUUUUCUGAUACUGGGACUCCAUGCAGACAUGAAGUUGCAUCCAUAUACAUCAAGACAGUAUUGGGCUCUUUGACACCACUAUGAUUGGUGUGAUUGCAAUUCCACCCGGGACACGUGAAAAGGCAGUUUAAAACCUGCUUUUAAAAGCAUGUAUGUUUAUUUUCUCUUUUGUGGUGACAGGAACUCUACUGGCAUUGGCACUAUGGAGCAGCACUCAGAGGAGCGUGUCCAGUGGCCCUUUUGGUGAAGGAAGAUGAAUUGCUGUCCUGUUCUCACGCGCCAAGAACAAGUAGUGCAAAGGCAAAGAGCUGUGAAAGGUGCUAGAGAAACUGCCAACACACACACCCGCACCCUGGCGCCGGGAAACGCUCCAUUCGCAGGGAAGGCGCA
rnacentral:lncRNA from 1 species